rnacentral:snoRNA from 1 species
CAAUAAAAAUAGAAACACAUUUUAUGGUCCAGAGCUGUUGCCUGGCCCUUCUUACCAGUGGGCUGCAGGCACUGAGCAGGGUUGUACAGUG